rnacentral:rRNA from 1 species
GGUUAAGUUAGAAAGGGCGCACGGUGGAUGCCUUGGCACUAGAAGCCUAAGAAGGACGGGACUAACACCGAUAUGCUUCGGGGAGCUGUAAGUAAGCUUUGAUCCGAAGAUUUCCGAAUGGGGAAACCCGG